rnacentral:rRNA from 1 species
CCUACGGGAGGCAGCAGUGGGGGAUAUUGCACAAUGGGGGAAACCCUGAUGCAGCGACGCCGCGUGAGUGAAGAAGUAUUUCGGUAUGUAAAGCUCUAUUAGCAGGGAAGAAAAUGACCGUACCUGACCAAGAAGCCCCGGGGAACUACGUGCCAGCAGCCGCGGAAAUACGUCGGGGGCAAGCGGUAUCCGGAUUUACUGGGUGUAAAGGGGGCGUAGACGGUUAUGUAAGUCUGGAGUGAAAGCCGGGGGCCCAACCCCGGGACUGCUUUGGAAACUGGGGAACUGGAGUUCAGGAGGGGCAGGCGGAAUGCCUGGUGUAGCGGUGAAAUGCGUAGAUAUCAGGAGGAACACCGGCGGCGAAGGCGGCCUGCUGGACUGAAACUGACGUUGAGGCUCGAAAGCGUGGGGAGCAAACAGGAUUAGAUACCCGGGUAGUC